ACCAUUUGGAGACAACGGGUGCUGGAGAUGUAACCAUCCAGGCGGACAGCCCCAACUCUCCUGUUUGGUGAGGGGAGGACGGGGGCUGUGGAUGUGGAGGACAGCCGUGUGACGAUAUGCGCGGAAAAAAACAAGAGGACCCGUUAGAUUAAAAAAAUGGACGUGGCCGGCGGGACGUCACGAUGCGCCGUCGCCACAAAGCUCAGUACGCCGCUCAUGAACGCGCUCACUUGGCUCCCAGCAUGCCGCACGUCCGGAGGGACCGCUGCCUUCCAGGAGCUCAUCCAAGCCCAGUGCAACCCACCCUGCUGCAUCUGAGGAGGAAACAAAACUUAAAAAAGCAGCCGAAAUGAAGAUGAAGGACCUUCCUCCAACUUCCAGGUGUGUCGGAGGUUGUGUGUGUGUGAGCUGCGUUCGCAGGCCUGAGGGGUUGUCUGUUAUCUUUGGUUAUCUAGCUGUAUGAGUGACGUACAUUCUUCAUAAAGCUAGAUAACCGAAAGUAACAAGAAUCCCAUUACACGCCUGCAUGGAGGAACAAAACAACCAAUUUUUAAAAAAAAACAACACACGAGCAGAGAGGAGUGGGCUUGGACGAUGGACGUUGCCAACCGAUGACGUGAAGGUUUCUGAUCAGUCUGGAGUUGGGAAUCACCUGGUCUUUGCCUCUCAGCUCAGCUUGGGACUGUGACUUUGAGUCCAGCGAUAUUCGUUUCACACAGGAGUACAUCGUCGUAAUAUGAUGGAGGAAGUACGGACUCUGUGAAAGCAGCCGCUUCCGACAACCUGACAGUGGACAGAGUUAAAACUGUCAGAUCUUAAAACUGAUAACGGAUACAAAAGUCACAGUUUUCUGCUGCUGCAACAGAACAUCUUUAUCUGACUGACGAUAGAAACAAAGCAGAAGACAGAAGAUUUUGACACAAGUGGACAAACUGACAUUUGGCUUUAGCAAAGUGGACACUGUGUGUGUGUGUGUGUGUGUGUGUGUGUGUGUGUGUGUGUGUGUGUGUGUGUGUGUGUGUGUGUGUGUGUGUGUGUGUGUGUGUGUGUGUGUUGUACACUGUGUUCUUGGAAACUGCUCUGCACAGCUGUUCAGGAAACAUCUGCACUAGAUUUUCAUGUAGGUCAGAGCUUAGAUCACCAUCUCUCUCUCACAAACACACAAACUCUUUUGAGAUUCACAGUCAUUAAAAAAAAGCAAAAAAAGGUCAGAUUAUGUUGUUUAGGUGUUUUUAAUUUUUAAUUUUAAUUAAUUAUUAGUAUUACUGAUUAGUUUAACAAUUUAUUCUCUUUUAUCUUAGAUCUUAACUUGAUUCAAAAUAAAUUUUUAUUUCAGCUAGCGAUUAAAUUUGUCUCUUGUAAAACUUUAGAUGUUUCAAUCAAAUUGUUGACAAUCUGUGUGACGGGAUUAUUUGAAAUUAUUUUUCUGGUGCAAUGUCAAAAAUGUUUUAUUGACUUGAUCCAUCAGCUAUAAAUUUAUCAUCAAUCUUUCAGAUUAUUUGACUGGUUUUCUGCCCAUUUCAUCAACCCAUAACUGUAUAUUAGAGUAUAUGUCUGUUUAACGGCUGUGUAACCUUUGUUUUCCACAUUAGAUUCUAAAUGAUGUAGUGGUUACAUAAGGUCUUUUAACAGCUAACUUUCAUGUAUCACACAUCAUUUUAUUUUAUUUCUAAUACGUGUAUAAUAGUAUAAGAUUGGAGCUUGAUUUCAGUCUUUAUUACAUUGUAUUUUUAUUUUUUGUGUAUAUGUUUAAUCAAGAUAUCACUGCAGGAAGAGUUUUGUGCAAUAAAACUACAGUAUGUUUACUUUUUAUCUAUGCAAAAGUAGGAGGUUUUGCACUAUUUGUAUUAGUGUUUGCACAUUAAUUGUAUUGUUACUGUAAACCUGCAUGUUAGCAGCUAAAUGUACAGGUUCGGUUUGUGUCCACAGUCGGAUAGAAAUGUGGUGAAUUGUAAUGUUUUACUAAUAUGCACUAUAUGAGCACAGAUGCAAUGUGUUUAAUUAGAAACAAUGAGUAUGGUCCUCACUAACAUAAGUUUCAUCUUUCCUUUGAUUUAAUCAAUCUCAGAGACUAAAAUCUGGAUUUAUUCCACAUUACAUUUGUCAAAUUAGCUUCUCAGUGUAAUAUGAAUACUUAAAGUUUUGUUUUGAUCUAAUGUGGAGAACUUGUGAAUAUGUGCAAUAGAUUGUAUUCAGUGUGAAUGCUGUUGAGUUGGAAUAAUGUAUUUGAUUAUACUAUAAUGCACUAACUGUUUCAGGAGUCUUAGAAGCAUGAUUUGCACAUGAGCUGUUUACGUGCUCGAUGUCUGUACUAUGCAACUACUGCAGUUCAUUAAUCAAUAAAAGUAUUAAUGUUUACAAUGAGACAAUAA